UCGGAUGUGGUGCACGGCGCACGUCAGCGUCAAAUAGCACUUUGAGGUUCGUAACUUUGGCUGCUAGCAAAGUCCGGGGUUCGACUCCCCGCAUCCGAA